rnacentral:lncRNA from 1 species
GGCACAUUGCUUUCUCAAGAGAAAAGAAGAUCUUCAGAUAUAUUUUAAAUACCAUAAGAAUCUGCCCCGAGCUAGGGCAAUCUGGCAAGAGUGUCAAGACUGCGCCUACUUUGGGGUAUGCCAGCGCCAACUGGAUCACAAUCUCCCUCUUUUUAAGUAUCUUAAAGGACCAAGCCAGAGACUUAUAAAAUACCAGAUGCUGUUGAAGGGUCUGCUGGAUUUCGAGUCUCCUGAAGAUAUGGAGAUAGACCCAGGUGAACUAGGAGGCUCGGCUAAGGAUGGGCCAAAGAGAACCAAAGAUUCAGCAUUCUCAACUGAACUACAACAAGCUUUGGCAGUGAUAGAGGAUUUGAUCAAGUCCUGUGAGUUGGCUGUGGACCUAGCAGCAGUGACUGAAUGUCCGGACGAUAUUGGAAAACUAGGCAAGCUGUUGCUGCACGGCCCUUUCAGUGUCUGGACAAUUCACAAGGAUCGUUAUAAAAUGAAGGAUUUGAUUCGAUUUAAACCCAGCCAGAGGCAAAUCUACCUAUUUGAAAGGGGAAUAGUGUUCUGUAAGAUACGAAUGGAGCCUGGGGACCAGGGAUUGUCUCCUCAUUACAGCUUCAAGAAGGCCAUGAAGCUGAUGACACUUUCAAUUCGCCAGCUUGGAAGGGGGAGUCAUAGAAAGUUUGAGAUUGCCAGUCGAAAUGGACUUGAGAAAUACAUCCUGCAGGCAGCUUCAAAAGAAACCAGAGACUGUUGGUUUUCAGAAAUAAGUAAAUUAUUGAUGGAACAACAAAAUAAUAUCAAAGCAAAGGCAAUGGAGCAGGAUGCGGACCAUGGAUUAAAAAUAUGGAAAGAGCUACCACUAGCAAGGAAGACCCAGCCUCCAGCACAGGAGGGAUUAAAGGCUGCUCCAGCAGGGAGUUUAGCUCCAUGGACACCUUUGAAGACUGUGAAGGCGCAGAAGACAUGGAAGAGGAGAGCAGCGCUCUGAGUCUCGCCGGCCUUUUCCAGUCGGACGACAGUCACGAAACCUGUUCCUCCAAAUCUGCUUUCCUGGAGAGGGGAGAAAGCACCCAGGGAGAAAAAGAAGAACGCGAUGAGGAGGAAACGUGAGUGUGAGCGAGGAAAGACUAAGCGCCUCUUUGGGCCACGGCGUCUCUGACUUUCUUCUCGGAAUUGCAGGGCGACCCGCAGCACGGAGGAGGAGCGCGCUGGGGCGUCCACGGGCGGGCUGGCUCCUGCGGGGGCGACGGCUGGUUUCCAGGCGAGGGCGCUGCGCCCGAGGACCUCCGCCCAGGAGAGCUGACCUCCCUGCGGACGCCCCCGCUCCUCGGCUCCAGAGCGCCCGCAUUCCCGGGAGAGGCGGUGUGGGAGCCCGGGCCCUGCCCAGCUACGCAGAAAGCAGCCGGAGCCUCGGCGGCGGCAGAAAGGGGACAACCAGGGCCUCCUCCCAGGAGCCCGAGGGGUGCCCUGGGUGCGCGCCUAGCUCCGCACGGGGGACCUCGGAGCUGCUCUAAGGCGCCUGCAGAGGCGAGCAGAGCCCGCAGCCCACGCCUUCUCAACCGCGCACUUCGACGUUCGGAGCCGGGCAGUUCUUUGCUGUGUGGGCUUCUCUGUGCUCCCACGGUAGGAUGUUUAGCAGCAUCCCUGGCCUCUACCCACUAGGUGCCAGGAAUGCGCCACCCCAUCCUCCACCCCACCCCCAAAUUGUGACAAUCAAAAAUGCCUGCAGACACGCCCACAUUUCUCCAGGGCGGGGUGGGAAUCGGUUGAGAGCCGCUUAGCCCGAGCCUUGGAGGAGCCGGAGCCGCUCAAACCCGGCGGGGGCCGCAGACUGGGAGCUCCCGGUCCGCCUCCCAGAAUCCCUGCGAGCGUUCAUGGGGUGUUCGUGUUAGUGCCGAGAUUGCUUCGUUGUAGAGAGAGUUCGUUCCAAGUUACUUUCUGAGGUAUUUUAUGUAUCGAUUGAUUAGUUUUUAAAUGAGUUUUGUUAUUUUCAGUUGUAUUUUUAGUUUUAUUAGUUGAUUUUCAUUUCUUUGUAGCUUUCUAGUUAUUUAAUUUUAUAGUUUCAGUUACUGGUUUAUAGUUAUUUUCAAAGUUAUAUAGUUGUUGAGUUGUUCAUUUUCAGUUAUUUAUAUGUAGUUGUUUUGUUUUAGGAGUUAUAGAUGUUCAAAUUAAUUUGCUUGGAAUUUAUUUAUUUAUUUAUUUAUUGAGACGGAGUCUUGCUCUGCCGCCCAGGCUGGAGUGCACUGGUGUGAUCUCAGCUCACUGCAAGCUCCGCCUCCCGGGUUCACGCCAUUCUCCUGCCUCAGCCUCCUGAGUAGCUGGGACUACAGGCGCCCGCCACCACGCCCGGCUAAUUUUUUAUUUGUAUUUUUAGUAGAG